rnacentral:rRNA from 1 species
AUGGAGAAGGGAGGCGAGGCGGGCGGCGGCAGGCCGGAGUACAGCAUCAUCGUGCCCACCUACAACGAGCGCCUCAACGUCGCCCUCAUCGUCUACCUCAUCUUCAAGCACCUCCCGGAGGCCAAGUUCGAAAUCAUUAUUGUGGAUGAUGGAAGCCCCGAUGGAACACAAGACAUUGUAAAGCAGUUGCAGCAAGUAUAUGGUGAAGAUCGUGUUCUUCUGCGAGCUAGACCAAGGAAGCUAGGACUUGGUACUGCAUAUAUGCAUGGAUUAAAGCAUGCCUCAGGGGAGUUCGUUGUUAUAAUGGAUGCAGAUCUAUCUCAUCAUCCAAAGUAUUUGCCAAGCUUCAUCAGGAAGCAAAAGGAAACCGGUGCUGACAUUGUAACUGGCACGCGUUAUGUUAGCAAUGGUGGUGUCCAUGGUUGGAAUCUUAUGCGUAAGCUGACCAGCAGGGGAGCAAAUGUUCUGGCACAGACGUUACUACGCCCCGGAGCUUCUGAUCUGACUGGGUCGUUUAGGCUAUAUAAGCUAAGUGUUUUGGAGGAUGUCAUCUCCUCCUGCGUCAGCAAGGGCUAUGUAUUCCAAAUGGAGAUGAUUGUCAGGGCUACUAGGAAAGGUUAUCACAUCGAAGAGGUCCCAAUCACUUUCGUCGACAGGGUCUUUGGAAUCUCAAAGCUCGGGGGAUCCGAAAUUGUUGGAUAUUUGAAAGGCCUUGUGUAUCUGUUGCUCACAACUUAG